GCCGGGCGCGGUGGCUCAAGCCUGUAAUCCCAGCACUUUGGGAGGCCGAGACGGGCGGAUCACGAGGUCAGGAGAUCGAGACCAUCCUGGCUAACACGGUGAAACCCCNGGGGUUUCACCGUGUUAGCCAGGAUGGUCUCGAUCUUCUGACCUCGUGAUCCGCCCGUCUCGG
rnacentral:SRP_RNA from 1 species